CCUACGGGAGGCAGCAGUGGGGAAUAUUGGACAAUGGGCGAAAGCCUGAUCCAGCAAUGCCGCGUGAGUGAUGAAGGCCUUAGGGUUGUAAAGCUCUUUUACCAGGGAUGAUAAUGACAGUAUCUGGAGAAUAAGCUCCGGCUAACUCCGUGCCAGCAGCCGCGGUAAU
rnacentral:rRNA from 1 species